rnacentral:rRNA from 1 species
GUGUCAGCAGCCGCGGUAAGACGUAGGGUGCAAGCGUUGUCCGGAUUUACUGGGCGUAAAGAGCGCGUAGGCGGUCUGUUAAGUGAGAAGUGAAAGCUCCGGGCUCAACUCGGAAAUGGCUUUUCAUACUGGCAGACUGGAGUGAUGCAGAGGUUUGUGGAAUUCCUGGUGUAGCGGUGAAAUGCGUUGAUAUCAGGAGGAACACCCAUGGCGAAGGCAGCAAACUGGGCAUCAACUGACGCUGAGGCGCGAAAGCGUGGGUAGCAAACAGGAUUAGAUACCCUGGUAGUCCACGCCCUAAACGAUGGAUACUAGGCGUUGGAGGUAUCGACCCCUCCAGUGCCGCAGCUAACGCACUAAGUAUCCCGCCUGGGGACUACGGCCGCAAGGUUGAA